rnacentral:lncRNA from 1 species
UCCCGACGAGUUAAACAAUGCAGUCAAAUUUGCUAUCUUGGUCAUAGAAAGAUGCCAAGCAGCAUGCCAAGAUAUCACGAGAUAUAGGAGGCCACAUAGCUUUUGCUCUCUAGCUGGGUUGGGUUGGCUUGGCUUGGCCGUACGUACCGUGAGUGGGGUUCCCCCGGGCAUUAUUGCCAGAACAGAAACCCUAAACCAUGGUGCAUGCCCAUUCCUGUGAGCACAGGAGAAGUGGAUACCGCUUCUCUCCCUCUCUUCUCCUUCCUCUGACCCUGCCUCCUCCUCCUCCUCCUCCUCCUCCUCUUCUUCU